rnacentral:lncRNA from 1 species
CCGGGUCCUCUACACCGAUGGCGCAUCCAAUGCGUAGGGAUCUGGACUGGGACUCAUACUCAAAGUCCCAAUAGGAGAAGUGAUUUGCCAAUCCAUACCAGACCAAAAUCCACAAAUUGCUGCCUCAAUUCGACGAAUGUCGACUCAAUCAAAUACCACGGGCGCAAAAUAUCAAAGAGGAUGGUCUCGCCAAGCUGGCAGCAGCAACUAGAAAUAUCACUUAGGAGAACGUGGUCAC